UUCGUUAUACUACGUUAUACUACAUACGAAGAUCUAACAAGUACCCUACAAGGUUUCACUUUUGUGACCUUAUAUAACGUAAUAUUUGACCCCAGAAAGUAUUUAUAUCGACCAAUCAGAAUGCUCCUUAUAAACGCGACCUAGGAACAUGUUGAAGAUGGCGACGUAGAAAUGGAAAAACAACAUAGAAAAUGCAUUAACUGAAAUUUUGCCUUAGUACAAAGUGAAAGAAUUGAAAUUUGAGAAGAGACAAAUUUUGGAAAUCAAAGAUUGCAUGGUCAGGCUUCCAACAUGCUUCAAACGGGCUAUGGAAAGAGUUUACAUACCAGAUAUCUGCUACCCGAUAAUCAAGUCUGCAUUCAAAGGAGCAGACAUUCUUCCCUGGUCUAUAUAGCUUCAUUGAAAGGAAUCAGACACAGAAAGUUUUGGGAAAUGAAAUUGAGAGUCACUGUGAAUAAUUCACACACAUGCUAGACAUAAAGAAAUGGCCAGACACAGGCUCAGCUAUAGAAUCUGUAUCAACUGGAAGCAACAGCAUUUUCAUCAGAAAACUAAAAAGGAUGUGAAAAACAUGAAACAUGCAUUUGGAAAUGUUCAGCCGCCAAACAAAUAGAUAUGCCAGGAAAUGCAAAUUGUUUGCUAAUAUAAAUGUCAAUGAUGUCUGUACAAAAGCAAAGAUAUAAAAGCCUUUUUCAUUUAUACAUGUAACAGUCAUAUACAAUACAGAUUUAAGACCAUCAGACAAUCUUUAAAUCUUUGGAAGCCACAGUACCUAGUCCAAGACAUUCCAUAUUUUCAACUCGUUAUGAAGACAUAUUUGACCAAUCUGGUUUCCAUUUAUAGAAGUUUAAAAAUAAGUUCUACAUGUACAUGACAUGAUGAUCACCAGCAAUGAAGGUGAUAUAGGAUAUAAUAUUCAAAGUAGAGAAGUAUAAAGUGAAUUUGAACCUCCCACCAUAAUAGCAUUCUGCACAUUUUGGAUCACAUAUGGAUCAAGCUGUUGUACUUGUGAACUAAAAGAUUGUUGCUUGGUUGUUGUCAGGUACAUUGUACAUGUUGACAGUGCUAUACGUCUAUUAAAUAAAAUGCAGUUCAGAACAGUUAUAUUUUAGUAAUAGAUAGAUUUCUUCUGUCUUUAUUUGAACGGAUAAACCAGAUAAUUAAAAAAAAAAUUUCUGACAACUAUGUCUGUUCUGGAACUGAAGACUACCUUCACUUUUUGUAUCUUCCUUGUUCAUUUUUCCUCCAGAUAAAUUACUGACUAUCACCAUGAGGCUUAUAACAUGUAUAAGUAGGCUUAAUUCCUCCAAGGUCUCCAGUUAUGUCCUGUCUGUGACAAAAGUUUCAGAAUACAAGACAUGCAAGACAUGAAAUGCUAAUCAGACAACAACAUUUACUAUUUAUAUGAAGUUUUAUAUUUCAGAGGGUAGAAAUCAUGGAUUUGUCAUACUUAAAAUCAUAAUCAUGAUAAUGUAUAAGGAAUCCUUAUGUUUAGAAGUUUUUGUCAAGACAUAUGUCCAUUGUCCUUAUUCCAUUUUCAUUGUUCAGUGCUCCUUAAAAAACUACAUGUGUAGUGAUUUUAUCAAGUGAAUUUGUGGCAUAUUAUAAGUAAUACGAUAUUUGGUAUACAUGUAUGGGAUCAAAGGUUUACAUGUGUUGUCAGACAGGGUUCAACUUGUCUCUCAAUUUUUUGUCGAGCCCCGGGUUCUCAUUAAGGCGAGUCCUGGACUCAUCAUAAUCAGUCUGGACUCAUCAUUUUCAAAACUUGCGAGUCCCAAGAUGCAUGAAAAUUGUAAAAUGUUGUAUCUACUGAGCACAUACAUGUAUAUCACCAUUUUAUCACAAAAGUUAAAAAAUAAUCUAAAUUUUGUGUAAUUAGGGAUAGUGAUGCGGCGGCGUUAACUCAUUUCUUAAAAGCUUAAUAUUGCAGAAGGUAGAAGAUCUGGAUGCUUCAUACUUUGUAUAUAGAUGCCUUAUGAUAUGAAGUUUCCGUCUGUCAUAUGUCUAUUGUCAUUGACCUCAUUUUCAUGGUUCAGUGACUACUUGAAAAAAAAGUUCAGAAUUUUUGUAAUGUUAAUUUCUCUCUUAUUAUGAGUAAUUGGAUAACUAUAUUUGGUAUGUGCGUACCUUGCAAGGUCCUCAUGCCCGUCAGACAGUUUUGACUUGACCUCGACCUCAUUUCAUGGAUCAGUGAACAAGGUUAAGUUUUGGUGGUCAAGUCCAUAUCUCAGAUACUAUAAGCAAUAGGUCAAGUAUAUUUGGUGUAUGGAAGGACUGUAAGGUGUACAUGUCCAACUGGCAGGUGUCAUCUGACCUUGACCUCAUUUUCAUGGUUCAGUGGUUAUAGUUAAGUUUUUGUGUUUUGGUCUGUUUUUCUUAUACUGUAUGCAAUAGGUCUACUAUAUUUGGUGUAUGGAAUGAUUGUAAGGUGUACAUGUCUAGCUGGCAGGUGUCAUUCGACCUUGACCUCAUUUUCAUGGUUCAGUGGUCAAAGUUAAGAUUUUGAGUUUUGGUCUUUUUUUCUAAUACUAUAUGCAAUAGGUCAACUAUAUUUGGUGUAUGGAAAUAUUUUAUGAUCUAUAUGUCAGUCGCGCAGGUUUUAUUUGACCUUGACCUCAUUUUCACAGUUCAUUGCUCAGUGUUAAGUUUUUGUGUUUUGGUCUGUUUUUCUUAAACUAUAAGCAGUAGGUCAACUAUAUUUGUUGUAUGGAAGAAUUGUUAGCUGUACAUGCCUGCCUGGCAUGGUUCAUCUGACCUUGACCUCAUUUUCAUGGUUCAUUGGUCAAUGUUUAGUUUUCUUGGUUAAUGUUAAGUUUAUGUGACAGUUGUAAUAAAGCUUUAUGUUUAGAACUAUCAACAUAAUAUCAGUGAUUAGUAAAGAAGGCGAGACAUUUCAGCGUGUGCACUCUUGUUGUGUUUUGGUCUGUUUUUCUAAUACUGUAUGCAGUAGGUCAACUAUAUUUGGUGUAUGGAAAUAUUUUACAAUGUACAUAUCAGUCUGGCAGGUAUUAUUUGACCUUGACCUAAUUUUCACGGUUCAUUGCUCAAUGUUAAGCUUUUGUGUUUUGGUCUGUUUCUCUUAAACUUUAAGCAAUAUGUCAACUAUAUUUGGUGUAAGGAAUGAUUGUAAGGUGUAUGCAUGUAUGUAUGUCUGGUAGGUAUCAUCUGACCUUGACUUCAUUUUCAUGGUUCAUUGGUCCAUAUGGAAUUUCCAUGGUUUGGUCUGUUUGUUUUAUACUACAAGCAAUAGGUCAUCUAUAUUCUGUGUAUGGAAUGAUUGUAUUAAAGGUGUACAUGUAUUUCCGCCUUGGUUUAUCUGACCUUGACCUCGUUUUCUUGGAUCAUAAAUGUUAAUGUGAUACUUGUAGUAAAACUUUAUAAGUAGGACUAUCAACAUAAAAUCAAUGGUCAGUAUAGUAGGCGAGACAUUUCAGCAUGUGCACUCUUGUUUCAACUUAUUAGUCUACAGAUAUCUAAAUAAAAAAUUAAGGUAUAUACAUUAGGUAAAAAUAAAAUCAAACAAAAGAAGGUGUUCAUGUGACCCCAACCUCAUUUUACCCAUCAGUGAUUUAGGUUAUUUUUUUGUGCAAAUUAAUAUAUAUUGUGGUUAAUUCCAUUUCUCAGAUUCUACACAAUGUAUAUAAAGCAGUAGGUCAAAGUUUACAUAUGAACAAGAAGAGAUACUAUACAUGAAACGUUUAUAUAUAUGUUAAUGAUGAUGGAUAGCUGCUUACAGUCCAGUGGCAAAUUAAUAUGCAUAUUCAGGACAAGAAUAUGUUUAUGUGAUGUGAAUAAUAACCCUGCUUUGUUAUAGACCGACAGUAACUAAAAUAGCAAAAAAUAACUAAAUGACAUCUAGAAUGAAACCUAUAUGUAUAUAUAAGGCUUCAAUAGAAGGAAAGGCAAUUGUCUAUGCAAUAUGUCAAGCUCUACUCUUUAAUGUGUCUAUAAAAGUAGUGAAUAAAUUCAGCAGAAAUAUCUUGUU